AAAAUUUCCCGACAAGUCAUGCUUUUUAAAAGUAAAGGAUCUGUAAUAGGGUUCGAUAAAGGGCAGCACCAGUCGAGACAAUUACCCUGAUAAUCACGGACAACAACGACAGUCGCACCACAAUUUCUACUAGCAUAUGUGACAACAUCAAGAUUAAACUUGAGAAAGCUGAUGGGAGGUGGCUGCCAAAGACAAGGGGAGGCGCUAACCAAAGGAGGAGUAGUUGAAACUCUAUUGGCUUGACAAAACUUCUCAUGUGCUCAGAUUGCUAAAUUGAUUAGAACACUGGCCGAGUUCCUUCGUUGGUUAAAAGUAAAAUAAUUUUUGUCCUUCUAAGUAAACCAAAUCAGGAAGCCGACAAGGGAGAAGUUCCGAAUCUUAGGGAUGCUGAGACGGAAAAGUACUGAUCUCCAAUCACUUUUCUAUCAUAUUGGAACUAAGCAAGAGAGAGGAUCUCAACCACAAAGGGGAGCGAAUCCAAAUAUCCACCACAUGAGGGCAAGUGAAAAAAAUAUGAUCAACAGAUUCUCUUGCACCACAAAAACAAAACUCAAGGGAGAUAUGAGGAAGGCGCUCAUGAAGAAGAGACUUACAAGGUAAGCAUUCUAAAUAACAUUGCCAAAGAGAGAUCUUAAUUUUGCUUGGAAAAUUUAAUUUCCACAAUUUCUUCCAAAAGGCUGCAUUUUGAGACGUAGAGGAUGGACCAAGAUCCUGUGAGCCUGAAAAAAACACCUACAUGUGCCCUGCCUGCUACCCAAUAACUUGACUUGACCGAGUAUGAGCCAUUUCUCUUAAAGUUUCACACCAGCUUAUCUUCUUGAGGGAAAAAAAAAAAAAAAAAAAAAAAAACUUAAAAGGGAUUUUUAGAAUAUGGUCAAUCGAGUCUCCCUCAAAGUUAGCUUCUAACUUGUGAAAAUCCUAAGAAUGAGUUGUUGGGUUGAUAAGCUGUGAAACCCUUGAGAUGCUCUCAUCAUGCCCAAUUCGAAUUUCAAGUAUUUGAGGAAAAAGGCUAGAAACCUAACAAGUCUCGUAAAAAAAUGUUAUGACCAUAACCUAUGUGCCAUCUUAUACCCUGUUUAAGAAGCUUUCUACCCUAGAAAAUAUUUUGCUAAACCCAUGAUGCUCAACUAUCCUGGGACGCUUACAGAAAAUAGGUGUGAGGAAAAUAUUUCCCUUUAAGAACUUGAGCAAUUUUGGAAUUUGGAUUUAUAAGGAUACGCCUCCCCUGCUUUGCAAUCAAGGCUUUAUUAAAGUUUUCUAUGUCUCUGAAGCCCAAGCCACCUUCACUUUUAGAUUUACAAAGCUUAGACCAAGCAGGCCAAUGUAGUUUCCUUUCAUCCUUCACUUGACCCUACCAGAAAUUAGCAACUCUGCUAUUAAUUGUAUUGCACAAAGAGGCCGCAAAGCUAAAAUAAGACAUAGCAUAUAUCGGGAUGGCAAAAGUGACGGCCUUAAUUAAAACUUCCUUUCCACCUUUGGAUAAAAGCUUCUCCUUCUAGCCAGAACACUUUUUCUUAAUUCAUCCUCUGAAAUUAUUGAAGGUUUGUGUUUUGAAUUUGUGAAAGUAAGAAUGAAGACCCAAAAAUCUAUCAAAGGAGUCUAAACUCUAAAUAUUGAGAUGGAGAGAAAUUUUUUGCCUUACUACCAAAGGAGUAUUUAGGCUAAAGUAGAUAACUGACUUAGACAAAUUAAUAGAUUGGCCACUAGCCCUCAAAUAAUCUUGAAAAAUAGAUUUAAGAAUGUUAGCCUAGUCCAACUAUGCAUGAGAAAAUAUAAUAGAAUCAUCUGCAAAUAAUAAAUGUGACACCGAAGGGUAGUGGCAAGAUGCAACUAUGCCCCAAAGAUUUGAUUUCUUGAUAACAUGAGACAAACUUUCUACAACAAAGAGAAAAAUAUAGGGUGAUAUCAGAUCUCCCUGACGGAUGCCUUUGGUUAGUGUAAGAUAACCAAACUGGUGCCUAUUGAUCUUGAAGGAGAAGAUAAUCGUGGUCACACAUUGCAUAACCCAAUUUAUCCACUUCUCGUGAAAGCCAAAACCUUCAAGCAUAUGCUAUAAAAAGGACCAUUCUACACACUCAUAUGCUUUGCUGAUAUCAAGUUUCAUUGUCAUGCCAGCUAAGCAACCCUUUUCCUCAAUUUUGUAUUAUGCAUAGGUUGAUGACAGAUAUGCAUAAAUUGAUGAUAGAUGAUAACAUUAUUAGAGAUUAGACGACCUUUUAUGGAAGCAUUAUGCUCCACUUCAAUGAUAGUGAUAAAUGACUAUUUAGACUCUGUUAGGAGUUUUAACCAAUAUCGUUUGACUAAAAUGAAAUAAGAGAAAAGAUAGGUUAGAAGAUGAAAAGUUGAUAAGUUGCAAAACUCACAUUUUUUUCCUCAUUUAAUUCCUUGAUUUUACUGUAAUUUUGAUAUAAAUAUUUAAUUUUAAUUUGAAUUUAAUUUUGGACAGGUUUGUGAGCAGAAGUUGAGAAAAUGAAGAAAAAAAGACUGAAUUAAAUGAUUUUUUUAUAUUGGGAGGCUACAACCUUGACCAAACCUGUAACCCAAGGCGAUAGGGAGAUAAGAUAGAUUUUGCCACCUAAACAAGGAUAAGAUCACUUUCAAGUGGAGUCAAAUUGAAUCAAACUCAAUCAGAUGAGGAUAAAGAUCAUAUUAAAAUGGAGAAAAGAUGAGGAUAGAGAUAAGAUAGAGAUAAUAGAUUUUAUUUUAAAUUUUAUCUUUUUGUGCCUAUAUAAAGGCUCAUAGCAUUCAACCUGGAGAAUCAUAUUCUACCUCUCACUCUCAUUUCCUCUCUUGCUGCCCCCCACUCUCUUCUCCAUUUUUUUUUCUCUUCUUCUCCUUUUGCUUAAUUUUUAUAAUUUUAUUAUAGCUAUGAGUGGCUAAACAUUUAUUUUCAGUUGAAAGUUAAAUUAAAUUGAGGUAUGUUAAAGUUGUGAGGUUAUGCACUUUAAUUCUCUUCAUCUUAUUUCUAUUUUCUAUUAAUUUCUGAAUUCAAGGAACACCACCUCCAUUGUUGUUUUCUUGAGAAUUCAAGGGGCCCAUUGAAUCUCUUGGGAAGACAACAUAUUGCUAAUUAAUCUAAUUAAAUUCGUAAUUGUUUAAUUGGGUUAAUAAUAAGUAGCAAUUGAUAUAUUAGUUUAUAUUAAGAAAUUAGUAGAUUUGAUUUAAAUAAAACGCGUAUUUUUAUUGAUCAAGUUUGGGUUCUUCUCUCUUAAUACAGUUGACUAAUUAAAUCUACACGCGUAUUGGGGGAAUUAAUUUAAGUGCGAAGCAGAUUAACUUAUUCAUAAGGAAGAAUUGUGGGAUUCGCGUGUUUGACCACUAUAACCAAACAAUAGAUAGUAAUAUGAAAUAUUUUUUUCUAACCAAUUAUCAACUGCAAAAUACCUCAAUUUAAUUACCUUCAGCUGAAAGUUUUUUUUAACUAUUUGUUUCUUCAAUUUCAAUUGCAUUAUUUAUUAUUUUUCUUUUAAGUUUAUUUUUAUUGGCUUGCCCAAGGCAAAACCCCUCUCCUCAAAAAAUUCUCUUUUACACACUCAUAUGCUUUGCUGAUAUCAAGUUUCAUUGUCAUGCCAGCUAAGCAACCUUUUUUCCUCAAUUUUGUAUUAUGCAUAAGUUGAUGACAAAUAUGCAUAAAUUGAUGAUAGAUGAGAACAUUAUUAGAGAUUAGACGACCUUUUAUGGAAGCAUUAUGCUCCACUUCAAUGAUAGUGAUAAAGGACUAUUUAGACUCUGUUAGGAGUUUUAACCAAUAUCGUUUGACUAAGAUGAAAUAAGAGAAAAGAUAGGCUAAAAGAUGAAAAGUCUUAUUGAAAUUCCUCAAAAAUUGAAAAGUAACUUUCUAAUAGUAUGCUUGAUGCUAUGUUUUGAGAUGCCUGUUGUUUGUGGAACAUUCGGGGACGAAUGUUCUUAAAGGGAGGAAGAAUGUAAUACCCGGCUAGAUUCCGGCAUCGGAAUCCCUGCCUUCCGGCGGAAUCUUCGUUGGAAUCUGGAAUUCUGAAGAUGCCAGAGGUUUCUAGAGGGGUAAAAUAUGUUUCUAUAAUGUUUUCACUUGAUUUCAUGGUUUUAAAUGAAAAAGAAUUGAGUUUUGAAAAGAAAAGACUAAGGAGGCAUUUGCCAGGUUCGGCUGCCGAAGGUCAAGUUCGGCCGCCGAACAUGGGAAGGUUUUGGGAGCGCUUUUGGCCUCCGAAAGCCUUGUUUGAACGAGCCAAGGUUCGGCCGCCGAACCUCAAGUUCGGCCGCCGAACAUGCAUGAGUUUAGGGGGCACAUUAGGCUGCCGAAGGUCUUCGACCAGACCAUCUAUAAAGGGCCCUCAGAUCGGAAAUGGGCGAGUUUUCUCCCCAUUCUCGAGCUCAGGUGAGUUUUUGUCCUCCCUUGGCCAUUUUCAUGUUUUUCUUCAUCUCCUUCAUGUUUUCAUGAGUUUUGUGGCUGUUUUGAAGAGUUUUCAAGCUUAGAUCAAGUUUUGGGAGCUUGGAGACCCAAGGAGUUAGUUUCUCCCAUCUCCAAGUUAGAGCUCGCACAAACCCUCAAUCUUCAAGAGGUAAGUGUGGAUCUAUGCUUUCCUUUACGUUUCAUGAAGUUUUAAGUGAGUUUUAAGAGGUUUUAAAUGGUUAAGUAUGGGUAGAUAUGCGUGUUAGGGUCCAUGUGGGUUUUAUGCCCACUGUAUGCAAAUGUAUGUUUAUAUAUGUUUAUGUGAUGUUGUGUUGAGGAGUUAUGUUAGUUUAUGCUCCUCUAUGCAUGUGGGAGUGAGUAUGCAUGAUGGGGAGAGAGUAUGUGAGGAUUUUGGCUAUUUUCGGUUUAUGUUACCCUUUAUGUAAAUGUAUGUUUUUGUAUGAUAAAAGUAAUGUUGUUGGGGUUUAGGAUAGUUUAAGACCCCUAUGUGCUUGGUUGCAUGUUGUAGAAUAGUUAAUGCAUGUUUUAGGAGGUUAGGUGCUUGUUUUGGGGUGUUUGGAAGGUUUGGAGGCUUGUGUGCAUUAAGGGCUGAGUUCUGGAUGAACUCAGGUUUGGCCGCCGAAGGUAGUUUCGGCCGCCGAACCUGCCUAUGGAUGCAUGGUUUGGCCGCCUAACCUUGCCCCCGAAAGUUGAGUUUUGGCUUGAAAGCAGACUUUCGGCCGCCGAAGGAAGGUUCGGCCGCCGAAAGUGCCUGACUUUCGUCUCUGGAAUGGGACUUUCGACCGCCGAAGGUGCCGCCGAAAGUGCCCGAGUUUCGUCUCUGGAGAGAGGGUUCGACCGUCGAAGGUGCCGCCGAAAGUGCCCUGUCCAGCCUUUUCAUGGUUGUUUUCUAUGCAUGUUUAAGUGGUGUUUAGAGGGGUUUUUGGGCAGUUGUUUAUGAGUUGUUUAGAGUGUGUUGGCACCUCAUUCGAGUCCACCUGUGUAGGAUCGGACCCGAGGGAUCGAGGAGGCCAUCAGUGUUAGCAGUUGCAGAGUCGGUCCAGCGUCUGCCAGAGGUGAGUAGAACUAAAAUAAAUCUUUUAUUUUAAGAAAUCAAAUGCCUAAAGCAUGCUCAUGCAUCAUGUUUAUAUGUAAUAGGUUGAUUGCACUAGUUACACGAAUAUGAAGCAUCGCAUUAUUUACUGUUGUUGGAGAUUGGACCAAGGAUGACCCCACUAGCCCUAUGGAUAAGACCUGGCUGGGCCAGGCAUUACGAAGUCCUGUGAUGCCUUUUGAGGGCCGGGCAAAUAGCUUAGGGAUGUUUUGGGGUUAGGUCCAAUCCGUGAUAUGAUUUGUUUGUGCUGUGACGUAUUUCAUGAAAGCAUGUAAUUAAUGAACUGUUUUUCCUUGUUUCUACUCACUGGGCUUUUUAGCUCACCCCUCUCCCCUAACCCCAGUUUUGCAGGUCAGAGGUAGUCCAGGAAGACGUCAAGGGUAAAGGUUUUGGCUAUGUAAUAAAGUAGUGGACAUGAUGUAGAUUAAAGGAAUGUUUGUACUGUAAUGUAUGUAAAGUAGAGUUAUGUUUAUGGAUUAGCACUGUGCUUGGCC
rnacentral:lncRNA from 1 species